GACGAACGCUGGCGGCGCGCUUAACACAUGCAAGUCGAGCGAAGCGGCGGACGGGUGAGUAACACGUGAGUAACCUGCCUUAGACCUUGGGAUAGCCUCGGGAACCCGGGAUUAAUACCAAAUGGUCUAAGAUGGACUCGCGUCCCAUUAGCUAGUUGGUGGGUAACGGCCCACCAAGGCGACGAUGGGUAGCCGGCCUCAGAGGGGUAACGGCCACAUUGUAACUGAGAAACAGUCCAAAAUCUACGGGAGGCAGCAGUGGCGAAUAUUGCAAAAUGGAGGGAACUCUGAUGGUGCGACGCCUGGUGAACGAAGGAGGCGUUCGAGUCGGAAAGUUCUUUUAUAUGGGAAGCGGUACCAGAAGAAAAAGCCCCGGCUAACUACGUGCCAGCAGCCGCGGUAAUAC
rnacentral:rRNA from 1 species